AGUUUCAACAUAUUUGAAUUCUUGCCUUAAAAUAAUGAAAAGUUGUGCGAAGGAAACAAGAUAUGAAGCGAAUAUUUUUGAGGAUUGGAGACCGCACAACGAGCUAGUUGGAGCUACUGACGCUUUGUUAACCCUGAAAUGACCACCCACCCUCAUCCCUUCCUCCCUUCUCUCCUGGUUGAUCAAGAUGGACUAGAAAUUAGGACCUGACUAUGAUAUUCUCUGUUCUGCAACAGUAGACUAUGGGCACCAGUUGUUUAUAAGCCUGGAUGUGUUUAUAUUGAAAACGGAUAGCAGUGACUAAACUCGAUUACUAAGUCUGACGAGGCAUGUGCGCAUUCAGUAAGGUUUGCCAUCACGAUAAGCUUCACCAACUAGAUAAAGAUGGUUUAUGUGAUAUCCACCUGGUACUAAAGCCACCUUGCGCUGCACUAAGUAAUCAUAUGAUGAGAUAGCUACAAGAAGAUGCUCCUAAAUCAUAGAAAUUUAAGUUGUUGAUCGAAGAAAAUAAUAUAUUGGUGGUAUGUACGAGCAACAGACCAGCGAGGAUGAGAAAUGGUGUGUGGCAGUGGUGAGUGGUGACCCUGGCCAGUCUUUGCUGGGGUGUUGGGUGAGGUGGAGUGAUGCAGGGCGCGCUGGUGCCUGUGAAGGACUUUUGACACAGAAAUUUCGUAUCGUCAGCAUUGAGACCAAGCAAAAACCGAGUCACCUUAUUGGUCGACAAGAGAUCACCAUCAGCCCUCCCUUUGGCCCAGAGCUUCAUUGAUUGUGAUUGGACAGCUGGCUUGGUGGGUGACCUGACCUGAUCUCAACCAAGCCAACACGAUUUACGUUUUCCUCGUUGACAUUGGCACCAUGAUGACCUCUGACAUGAACCUGGCACUAGAGAGUGUUGAGGUACUGAAGGGCGCAAUGCACAAUGCUGUCAAGGUGCCCCAAAACACACAGGCACAGGUGCAGGGGUGCCUCAACAUGCCAGCCACCUACAACACUGUGGUGGCACGGACACAGUUAGCACACCAGUUUUACGAGCACGUCAGUGAGGUAGCCAGAAUGUGUUGCCAACUUGUUCAUGACCAGCACCUGCAGCAGCAAUGUCAGGCUGGGCAGCAGUGGUGGCCAGCUUGGAGGACAUUGUGGCAGCCUUCAGAGCAAGACAUGACGCAUUCCAGCAAAACUUUGUGGAGUAUCUCAGUGGCCGGGAGGAGAAGGUUGCCCUGCUUCAGUUUUGUGUGUCUCUCCACUCUUCCUGGCAACUCACCAAUGGGGAGAGGAGGAGGAGGAGGAGGAGGAGAAGAGAGAAGAGAGGAGGAAAGAGAUAGAAAAAUGGUUGGAGUGUAUGAGUGUGUGUUUGUCUGUCACUACUACUACUACUACUACUACUGCUACUACUAGUUUUGAAGAGGACCUGAAGCUACUGGCAAGGAUUCCAGUCUUCCCUGAAUUCUUUUUGGGGAAGACACAAGAGGAAGAGGAAGAGGAGGAAGCUGGGAAGAAGAGGACAAGCACAGCACAGAAGAAAAGGAGGAAGAGCAGGAGGAUGAGAAGAGGGCAGGAGGAGGAGGAGGAGGAAAAAGAGAAAUGAGGCAAGUGUCACUGCUGGACUGGAUCAGCGCCAAGGACAGCCAAAGUGACGUCAGACAGAUUGCCCAACUCUGCUGCAGGGGACUGGCCCAGAUCAACAAGGGGCUGCUGAAACUAGUGGGGCAAGAGGUCAGCGCUGUGCUUCGAGAGGCAGACCGGCCACAGAUGAAGGGGCUCGGUGAGCACCUGUGUGGCCUGGAGCAGCUCAUGCAUGAUGCCGCCUACAUGGUGCAGGAACAGAGCAAUUUCUCACAGAAGGCCAACUUUUGCCCAAGAGCGAUGCCCCCAGAGGCCCCCAGACCAGCAUUCCUCAAGUCUCUCCCAAGACACCACCUGCCAUGCCAUCUGAAGAUGCACAACGUGGCUUUGCAGCACACCACACCACAGGCCGGUGACUCCCGUGCACCACUUGAUAGGGAAUGGUGUGUCUGUUGGCAGUGAGUGAGGGUGGUGCUGUGAAGCUGGUGGCACAGGGGCUGACCAGGGUUCUGCAGAACAGCACACCACAGCAGCAGCAGCAGCAGGAGCAUUGUGUGAGGGAAGACACAGCAUGUUGAGGCAAGGCAGCAGCUGUGGAGGAGUGGACAGCUGCACCACUGACACCACCACCACCACCACUGCUCAAUGCUGCUGCUGCUGCUGCUGCUGCUACUACUACUACUACUACUACUACUACUACUACUACUACUACUACUACUACUGCUGCUGCUGCUGCUGCUGCUGCUGCUGCUGCUGCUUCUGCUGCUGCUGCUGUUCCCCUCCUCCUCCCAGCACAGAAACAGACUGUGGGGUCCUGCCACAAUGCGGCUCUCUCCUGCAGGACAUGUUCUCGUCACCUUCAUGUCCCGGACGCGUGCAUAGACUUGUGCCUCAGUAGCCUGGCCGCAACAGACUGCAGCUGUGUGCUGUGCUGUGGCUGGCCAACAGGAGGGGGCGGGCAAGCUGGCCACCCUCUGCAUCACCACCUGCUGGGGAAAGAAGAGCACCGUUGUUGUCAUCUUUGUUUUCCUUCUUUUUCCUUUUGUUUUCCUUCACUGUUUGCAGGGAAUGGUGGCAGAAUUUGUUGAUGUUGUUGUUGUUAUCUGUUUGUUAUUAAAUGAUGUGUUCAUUGUGUUGUUGUUAUUGUUGUUGUUUUGUGUGCGUGAUGAACAAAAGCAGUCCACAGUUA